rnacentral:rRNA from 1 species
GACGAACGCUGGCGGCGUGCUUAACACAUGCAAGUCGAACGGACGAGCCCUACUUUUUUGGGGUGCUCAAGUCGCGAACGGGUCAGUCACCCGUGAGUUACCUGCCCUUUACUUUGGGUUCCCUUCAGUCUACUGUAGCUCAUACCAGCUAGUACCUCCUCCGGAUUGGUGGGCAUUGCAAAUUUUCGGCUGUUAGGGAUCGACGCGCGGCUUAUCGGCUUGUUGGUGGGGUAGUGGCUUACCAAGGCAUUGACGGGUAGCCUGCCUGAGAGGGUGACCGGCGACAUAGGGACUGAGGGACGGACCAGACUCGUACGGGAGGCAGCAGUGGGGAGUAUGGCGCAAUGGGGGGAAGCGUGAUGCAGCAACUCCGCGUGCGGGAAGACGGGCUUCGGGUGGUAAACCGUAGUCGCAGGUGACGAAGCGUGAGUGACGGUAAUGGGUAAAGAAGCAACGGCUAACUACGUG